CUGGAGUGACGUGUUGGGGCGGGGCUUUAGCCGGCGUCUCUCCCGCGCUUUUCCAGAAAAAGUGCGCAUUUUGACGUUUCCGAGCUGACUUACGUGGGUUGUCAAUUGAGGACCCGAUUUAAGGGCUUUAGGAGAACUGCCGACACCCGCCCUGGGACUCCAACCUACGUCAACAAAAAUGUAGCCGGAGCGGGACCGUAAACAGCUUGCAUCCCGACAAAGAGGGUACUGCUUGAAGAACUUUCAACCACUCUUGGUGAUGCCAAGGAUACAUUUUGCUAAAACAGUAAUUAUGCUUCUGGACCCUUGCCUGGUAAAAUGGAAAACAUGUAAAACAUUUGCUGCACUGAUGAGACCCUAAGGGAAGACUGUCUACUAUCAAAGGAAGACUCCAAUUCAUCUCUACUUAAAAGCG